rnacentral:rRNA from 1 species
UACGGAGGGUGCAAGCGUUAUCCGGAUUCACUGGGUUUAAAGGGUGCGUAGGCGGACAGGUAAGUCAGUGGUGAAAUCUCUGGGCUUAACCCAGAAACUGCCGUUGAUACUAUUUGUCUUGAAUAUCCUGGAGGUAGGCGGAAUAUGUCAUGUAGCGGUGAAAUGCUUAGAUAUGACAUAGAACACCGAUAGCGAAGGCAGCUUACUACAUGUUCAUUGACGCUGAGGCACGAAAGCGUGGGGAGCAAACAGG